UGUUAACAGUAGUCCAGUUAGGGCUAGAUAUUGACAUGUUAACAGUUGUCCAGUUAGGGCUAGAUAAUGACAUGUUAACAGUAGUCCAGUUAGGGCUAGAUAAUGACAUGUUAACAGUAGUCCAGUUAGGACUAGAUAAUGACAUGUUAACAGUAGUCCAGUUAGGGCUAGAUAAUGACAUGUUAACAGUAGUCCAGUUAGGGCUAGAUAAUGAUCUCUGUUAACAGUAGUCCAGUUAGGGCUAGAUAAUGACAUGUUAACAGUAGUCCAGUUAGGGCUAGAUAAUGACAUGUUAACAGUAGUCCAGUUAGGGCUAGAUAAUGACAUGUUAACAGUAGUCCAGUUAGGCCUAGAUAAUGACAUGUUUACAGUAGUCCAGUUAGGGCUAGAUAAUGAUCUCUGUUAACAGUAAUCCAGUUAGGGCUAGAUAAUGGCAUGUUAACAGUAGUCCAGUUAGGGCAAGAUAAUGACAUGUUAACAGUUGUCCAGUUAGGGCUAGAUAAUGGCGUGUUAACAGUAGUCCAGUUAGGGCUAGAUAAUGACAUGUUAACAGUAGUCCAGUUAGGGCUAGAUAAUGAUCUCUGUUAACAGUAGUCCAGUUAGGGCUAGAUAAUGACAUGUUAACAGUAGUCCAGUUAGGGCUAGAUAAUGAUCUCUGUUAACAGUAGUCCAGUUAGGGCUAGAUAAUGACAUGUUGACAGUAGUCCAGUUAGGGCUAGAUAAUUACAUGUUAACAGUUGUCCAGUUAGGGCUAGAUAAUGACAUGUUAACAGUAGUCCAGUUAGGCCUAGAUAAUGACAUGUUAACAGUAGUCCAGUUAGGGCUAGAUAAUGAUCUCUGUUAACAGUAAUCCAGUUAGGGCUAGAUAAUGGCAUGUUAACAGUAGUCCAGUUAGGGCAAGAUAAUGACAUGUUAACAGUAGUCCAGUUAGGGCUAGAUAAUGACAUGUUAACAGUAGUCCAGUUAGGGCUAGAUAAUGACAUGUUAACAGUAGUCCAGUUAGGGCUAGAUAAUGACCUGUUAACAGUAGUCCAGUUAGGGCUAGAUAAUGAUCUCUGUUAACAGUAGUCCAGUUAGGGCUAGAUAAUGACAUGUUAACAGUAGUCCAGUUAGGGCUAGAUAAUGACAUGUUAACAGUAGUCCAGUUAGGGCUAGAUAAUGACAUGUUAACAGUAGUCCAGUUAGGGCUAGAUAAUGACAUGUUAACAGUAGUACAGUUAGGGCUAGAUAAUGACAUGUUAACAGUAGUCCAGUUAGGGCUAGAUAAUGACAUGUUAACAGUAGUCCAGUUAGGGCUAGAUAAUGACAUGUUAACAGUAGUACAGUUAGGGCUAGAUAAUGACAUGUUAACAGUAGUCCAGUUAGGGCUAGAUAAUGACAUGUUAACAGUAGUCCAGUUAGGGCUAGAUAAUGACAUGUUAACAGUAUUCCCGUUAGGACCUGAUAAUGACCUGUUAACAAUAGUUUCUCCUGAUGGCCAGUAGAACAGCGGGGUGUCACUGCAACGGCUCCACAGUUAUGGCCAGUUUUCCCGAACAGAAAUUAAGCCUAUUCCUGGAUGAAAAAAAAAACACUUUCAAUUAAGAUUCUCAAAUGAGAUUGGUGUUUGAUACAGGACUAGGCUUAAUCUGUGUACCAGGAUAGCGUCUCUUACAGCAUAUCUCACAGUUAGUGCUGCGUUUCAAAAGCCAGAUGAGUUUCUAAUCAAAAAGGACUACCAGAUGCACACAGCCCAGCAACAGACCAGGCUCGCCAGCUUAAAAGUGACACCAACCUACCAAAUAAACAGUGUUAUUAUUAUUAUUUAGAAAUCCAGUUCUCCGAACUAGCCAAGUGUUUAAUAAUGACAUUAUUCUGUUUUAUUAUCUAGUUUAAUAUGUUGGUGCCUCACAGACACUGAAAGACAAGAUCCUCUCUCUCUGGGGAAGUGCCUUGACAUCAGAUCCUGUUGUGACGUCAUCUCUCCACCAGGCAAUAGUGUUCACCACGUCUGCAUCGGGAAUGGUACCCUAGUGUACUAUAAAGGGAACAGGGUGCUAAUGGGCCCUGAUCUAAAGUAGUGCACUAUAUAGGGAACAUGGUGCUGGGGAGACCAGUCCUUCUAAUUUGCUGAAGGACUGCAUGAGGUUUGUGUUUAUUCAUUCUAGACGUGACCAAACAAACCGGGUAUCGAACCAGAGUCAUUUGAGUGCCUCAAGACCACAUUCGUCCACAGAGCUAAAGGCUUGAUAGGCCCCAGCUUUGGAUCUUACACUAGUCCUCAGGUUAGGUUCAUCAAUCAUCACGAUGGACGGGGGAGGAAAAACACUAGUCCUCAGGUUAGGUUCAUCUAUCAUCAUGAGUGGGGGAGGAAAAACACUAGUCCUCAGGUUAGGUUCAUCUAUCAUCAUGAGUGGGGGAGGAAAAACACUAGUCCUCAGGUUAGGUUCAUCUAUCAUCAUGAGUGGGGAAGGAAAAACACUAGUCCUCAGGUUAGGUUCAUCUAUCAUGACGAUGGACGGGGGAGGAAAAACACUAGUCCUCAGGUUAUGUUCAUCUAUCAUGGAGGGAUAAGGAAUCACAUUUCUUAAUGAAUCAGAGAAGGACAGGUUGACUCUCUUUGAUGAGCUAGACCUUUAUGAGGCAAGGAUGGAGAGGUUGACUGUGUCCCGAUUCUCUACCCUUCUUCCGAAGUGCACAGGUGCAAACGGUCAUGGAUUUCACAAUGGUGGAAACUCCCUCUAGCCUUUAAAUCCACGAUGUGGAGUGUGCAAGUGCAUCCUUGGAGGAUCGGGAUGUAUCCGUGUGCAGUCCUCGGUCUGCUAUCAUGCUUCAUGGUGGUACAGUACUUCGAAUUGUCCUACAACAGCGUCUCAACCUUCUUCUUGGGAGACCAGACAGUCCACAUCUUUGUUCCAGCCCUAUACUAACACACCUGAUUACCUCACCGCCAAACCCUUGGUCAGCUGACCUAGGUGUCAAAUAGGGCAGAGCUAGAACUAAUACUUGCAGCCUGGUGUUUCCCCAGGAGGGUUGGGAAAUCAUGUGUCCGAAUGGCACUCUCUAGCCCCUAUAUAGGGCACUAUCUUUGACCUGAGCCCUAUAGGCCCUGGUCAAAAGUAGAGCACUAUUGGGAAUAGGGUACCAUUUGGGACGAGCUGAUUAAUUGAACAUAGAUCAACUUCAAAAUGCAAAGGUUAAGGUUUGGAGAGCCACUGCUAUACAGGUUAAUUUUUUUUCUGUUCAUAAUCAACUGUGCUCUUUUGUGGUACGUUUACUAACUAGGGGAUACCUUUUAAUCAAAUGUGAAUGUUUACAGUGUAUAUGGUUGAGUUUUUUUCUGUUAUAUUCCAAGAAAAGGAUGUGGGCAUUUAAAGUCUUUAAGAUAAAAUAAAGAUAAAAUAACGCACAAUCAUUGUACUGGGUGGUAAUGUAUUGUUUAAAACAGGCUGGAGGAGAGUGCCUCCUUCCUGGACUGUUUGUUCUUCUUUGGGUGAUCCGGUGUGUUUGUUGCAGUGUUGUGUGUAGGAGAGGACAGAGCCCCCACCUCUCUUCAUGCCUUGAAGUGUCUGCACCUGGACACCACAAAGGAAGAGGCUCUAUUGUGUCCUACUGGCUCAACCAAUCACAGCCCUCCAAGCAGUUAUCUGGCCUCAUCCAUAUGCGGGGAUAUUAACAUUCAUCAGACCAGACUCAAUGACACAACAUCAAUGGACAGGAACAUCGACUAUAUAUAUUACAGAGUAUCAAUGAAGGGGAACAGAAAUGAUAUAUACUGAACAAAAAUAUAAACACAACAUGUAAAGUCUUGGUCCCAUAUUUCAUGAGUUGAAAUAAACGAUCCCAG
ensembl:lncRNA